CCUACGGGAGGCAGCAGUGGGGAAUAUUGGACAAUGGGGGGAACCCUGAUCCAGCCAUGCCGCGUGUGUGAAGAAGGCCCUCGGGUUGUAAAGCACUUUCAGUGAGGAAGAACGCCUGGUGGUUAAUACCCAUCAGGAAAGACAUCACUCACAGAAGAAGCACCGGCUAACUCCGUGCCAGCAGCCGCGGUAAUACGGAGGGUGCGAGCGUUAAUCGGAAUUACUGGGCGUAAAGCGCGCGUAGGUGGCUUGAUAAGCCGGUUGUGAAAGCCCCGGGCUCAACCUGGGAACGGCAUCCGGAACUGUCAAGCUAGAGUGCAGGAGAGGAAGGUAGAAUUCCCGGUGUAGCGGUGAAAUGCGUAGAGAUCGGGAGGAAUACCAGUGGCGCAGGCGGCCUUCUGGACUGACACUGACACUGAGGUGCGAAAGCGUGGGUAGCAAACAGGAUUAGAUACCCCUGUAGUC
rnacentral:rRNA from 1 species